rnacentral:rRNA from 1 species
AUUGAACGCUGGCGGCAGGCCUAACACAUGCAAGUCGAGCGGAGCGGCGGACGGGUGAGUAAUGCAUAGGAAUCUGCCUGGUAGUGGGGGAUAACGUCCGGAAACGGGCGCUAAUACCGCAUCCUAUCAGAUGAGCCUAGGUGGGAUUAGCUAGUUGGUGGGGUAAGGGCCUACCAAGGCGACGAUACGUAACUGGGCUGAGCGGAUGAUCAGUCACACUGGAACUGAGACACGGUACAGACUCCUACGGGAGGCAUCGGUGGGGAAUAUUGGACAAUGGGCGCAAGUCUGAUCCGGCCAUGCCGCGUGUGCGAAGAAGGUGUUCGGAUUUGAAAGCACUUUAAGUUGGUAGGCGGUACCAACAGAAUAAGCACCGGCUAACUACGUGCCAGCCGCCGCGGUAAUUC